rnacentral:rRNA from 1 species
AGAGUUCGAUCCUGGCUCAGGAUGAACGCUGGCGGCGCGCCUAACACAUGCAAGUCGAACGGCACCCCUCUCCGGAGGGAAGCGAGUGGCGAACGGCUGAGUAACACGUGGAGAACCUGCCCCCUCCCCCGGGAUAGCCGCCCGAAAGGACGGGUAAUACCGGAUACCCCGGGGUGCCGCAUGGCACCCCGGCUAAAGCCCCGACGGGAGGGGAUGGCUCCGCGGCCCAUCAGGUAGACGGCGGGGUGACGGCCCACCGUGCCGACAACGGGUAGCCGGGUUGAGAGACCGACCGGCCAGAUUGGGACUGAGACACGGCCCAGACUCCUACGGGAGGCAGCAGUGGGGAAUCUUGCGCAAUGGGGGGAACCCUGACGCAGCGACGCCGCGUGCGGGACGGAGGCCUUCGGGUCGUAAACCGCUUUCAGCAGGGAAGAGUCAAGACUGUACCUGCAGAAGAAGCCCCGGCUAACUACGUGCCAGCAGCCGCGGUAAUACGUAGGGGGCGAGCGUUAUCCGGAUUCAUUGGGCGUAAAGCGCGCGUAGGCGGCCCGGCAGGCCGGGGGUCGAAGCGGGGGGCUCAACCCCCCGAAGCCCCCGGAACCUCCGCGGCUUGGGUCCGGUAGGGGAGGGUGGAACACCCGGUGUAGCGGUGGAAUGCGCAGAUAUCGGGUGGAACACCGGUGGCGAAGGCGGCCCUCUGGGCCGAGACCGACGCUGAGGCGCGAAAGCUGGGGGAGCGAACAGGAUUAGAUACCCUGGUAGUCCCAGCCGUAAACGAUGGACGCUAGGUGUGGGGGGACGAUCCCCCCGUGCCGCAGCCAACGCAUUAAGCGUCCCGCCUGGGGAGUACGGCCGCAAGGCUAAAACUCAAAGGAAUUGACGGGGGCCCGCACAAGCAGCGGAG